UUUUUUUCUUGCUCUCUUUUUGAAAAACACCAAAUUUUAUUUAGAAAUAAUACUACAUGCUCCGAAGAUGUAUUCUUAUUCCUAAAAUGGGUAAAGUUCUGUCUCUUAGAAAUCAGUUCAGCCAAAUUAAUAUGUCCUAUUAAAAAUAGGACUGGCAUUCAAAGAGGAGAUGACCACUGUUUUCCUGUAGCUCUGUCUUGUAGGAAAAACAAACCUCUACAGAGAUAUUAACUCAUAGGGUAGUAAGCAUGUAGCAAUGGAGUUAAGGGUAAAAAUAGUAGUAAUUCAUUGCACUUUUUCCCCCUAUUGAACAAAUGCUCAAGAUAAUUUAUUACACAACAAACAGGGAAAAACAAAAAAUUGAAGUGAUAUGAUUUGAAUUACUAUUAUAUAUUAAUGUCAUAAAAUCAUAGAGCAAUCACUCCAUUUUCCUGGGCCGCAGCUCCCUCAUCUCAGAAACUAGGGUAAUGACUAUACCUACAGUACUGAGCUCAUAGGGUGUGAGGCUCAAAUGAGAUAAUGUUCCUGAAAACCCUUUUAAAUGUGCUAUAUGCAAAAGUUAUUUUCAUUAGAACCAUUAGCAUCAAAGUGUAAAUGAUUGUGAAUUUCACAACUAUAGUUGAAUUUCACACUUCUUCCAUCUUCAGUCACCACUUUUUAAAGUCAACACUUUCUUAAAUGAAUAGUGUACAAAGGAUCCGAUUCACAAAUGUUCUUCUUCAUCUUAAAGUCACAGUCACAAAGUAGUCAAGAUCAGUGUGUGGUCCAGAAUGUCAAGUUCUUUGUAGCCUAAAUAAUGAGGCUCUUUAGGAGAUGCUGUGCAUACUCUCUCUCUGACUAUAUUCAUUAGUUAGACAAUGGUUAUUAAUCAUGUACUUACAACAUAAUUACAAUUACAAAACAAUAGUUCUCCAAACUGACUCAGGUUAGCAGAUCCUGCUUAGAGUAAGUGAAUGAAAAAAAACAACAACAAAAAAGAGUAAGUGAAUGCUCACACUAAUGCAUCUUCUGGAAUGUUGACAUUCUGUUCCUAUCUUUGAAUGCUAUGCUUACUAAGAGUUGAUGUCUGUUCCCAAUCUCUUUAUGCCGAUUGUAUUGGUAAUUAUAAGUAUGUAAUUUAAUUUACUACUGAAUAAACGAAGUGUAACUGGGAAAACAGAAUGGUUGUUUCCAUCAAGGUGAAAUUGAAUGGCUUGGAAAGAUGAAAAAAAUAGGUGACUCAUUUAAAAAUUCACUCUCAGAUAAGUUGUGGACAAGGCCACUGUAUAAGGUUCAUGGGAAGGAAGAUAAAAAGCCUAAAAGGAUUCUGAACCGA
rnacentral:lncRNA from 1 species